CAGUAGAAAUGAUGUGAGUGCACAAUAUGUCUGGUAACUUCUAUAGUGCUUAUUCAUAGACUAAAUUAAUCAUUGCCAUGAUAAUCACUAAGGGAGGCUAUGUCAGGAUAGUUAUAUCGGCAGACAUUUUGUGCUAAGAUAGAAAUUAAAAGUGUAUAUUGCGAGAGUCACUCAGAACAAAGCGGACUCCAUUUUGCUAUCUUCAGGCAAGACAGACACAAAAUGUCUUUCCUUUCUUUAACUAGCCACAUGCCUGAGUUAAGGAAUGCAUUAUGUAAACAAGCCAAGUGAUAAGCAAUGAAGCAGGGGGUUGGAAUGCUCUGUUUAAAUGUUAAUGGAAUAGAAAUAAUUUUAAACACAGACACUAGUGAUAGAGAAGACUAAGUAAUUUUACUUUCUAAAUCUUACAAGGUCCCGUUCUAAGUAAG